rnacentral:tRNA from 1 species
GCGGGUGUAGUUCAGUAGUAGAACAUCCCCCCCCUUCCAGGGGGGAAGGCGCAGUGUGCAAUUCCUGUCACCCGCU